AACGUUUGAAGGGGUUAGAUCUGCUAAAAAAUCAAAUUCGUUCGUCAGUUCCUGUUGGAAUCCUAACUCGGACACAUCUUCACCAGACAAGAGUUCGUUUCUUUCGGAAAAUUCUUCGGAAGAGUUUAAAAUUUGAAAUGCGCAUGUUUCGCACUCGGGUUCGGACGUAUUCAAAUCGUGACUAGUCGGUAUGCAAAGUAGAAGGUUUAUUCGAAUUCAGCCGAAGCAUGUUGGAUCAGUUCACACGAGGAACUCGAAGCGAUGGCAUCUCGAACUAUUCUCAUACCGAAACGUGGAGCGAUUACCAAUGGAUUACUUAGGAUUACUUUGGAUACCUGGAUACAUGGAAACUUUUGGAUUAAAAACUUUCAUAGAAGACAAACCGCCUGGAGGACGAUCUGCGGACCCUACGCAGAGUGCGGAACUGGAGACAAACAGCUAUGAACCGAGUGGAAUGGAGACGGCUACUAUGGACAGCAUAGGCCAACCCGGCCUUAGCCUGAUCGGUAAGAUCACAAAUCCCGACCCAUGCUAAGAUCCAUGACUUAUGAGAGAUAAAACCACAUUCGGAUGACACACGUCCAAACAGCAAUCCCAAAGCUUACAAUAUUGUCUGGUAAGUUUUCAUCGCUCACCUCACUAAUCGAACUCUUAUUUUAGGCUUUUUUCGAUGUUUGGAGCGGUGCCAGCAAAAGAUGUUUCAAUUCGCUCAAACCAUCCAUACCAUCCAACUAAUGAUGAAAUCUGAUGGGGAAGACUGAAACAUGUCUUAUAAACCACUGAUAAAAGGUAAAUCAAAAAUAGAUUUCAGUUGUUCGCUUCUUCAUAACACAGACCUAUGUCUGUGGUGGAAGUUUUGGCAACGAAACAACUGGUCGUCGCAGACGCGCGCAGUCGAAAUAAAAACGCAGUUAAAAAUAAGUAGAUAAAGUGUGGAUCGUCAUUGACUCGAAAACAACCUCCGAAACGAACUGUUAUAAAUUAAUUACCCAUAUAAAGCAUAACAAGCAUGACAUGCUUGAGGGCAAAGCAGGCUUCGAAUAAAUUGCUUCGACAUGGUCUUUGGCGCGCGGCCCAACUCUAUUUACUGCUUUUCUUUUGAGAAAUAAUACACCUGAUGAACAAAGUUGGCUCUGACUUUUAUUUUAAUUUCGUCUUUCACUGGGAAAGUAGUCGAAUGUUAUUCAGAUAAAAAUAUUUCAUAUAUGCGCCGCCAAGUCCCUCUAGUUAAUGACACGUUCUAAAUUUCCACCUUCUCAUUUGAUAAUCAUUUAAUAAGUUGUAAUUAAAUUUAAAUGGGACUCUACCUUUCUGCGUCUAGGCGUUAACAGGUUGUGCACUGGAAGCUUUCAACACGCUUAUUAAAGCCAGUGAGCUUACGAAAUGAGCGCUGUGUGAGCGCUGGGCAGAGUCGGGCUGACAUGCUCUGCCAUUGCUGCAUUCAUUGGCUCAAACAAACGCUCAAACGGCAGCCAUUGGUGGACGUUAUGAGAUUUGAAUUUAUGAUUAGACACCGCCUCCUUGAUGAAUAUGCAUGAGCUGAGUGUUGCGCUCCGACGGACGAAGACGACGACGACUUCGACGCAGACUCUCUUGGUGCUCUCAAUCGGUAUGCGCGUUUCAACAGCUUGUCACACUAAUGCCGUUUUUCUUUUUUAACCUGGGUUGGAACUGGAUUGGCGGAAAAUGUGUAAACAAACAACGUCAAACAAAGUUUAGUACAAGCGAAAUCGAAGUCGGGUUGGGGUUGAAACUGUGAUCUCAUCCAGUUCCAACCCAGGUUGGAACUGGAUCAAAAAGAAAAACAACAUAAGUAGGCUGGUGGUGAUGCGGAUGGUGACUUUGUUGGAGGAAGACGGAGGAAUUUCUUAGCUCGCAGGGAUGCCAGGUGAUGUUUUCACGUUUGUUUUGAAUGUCUUUGACAGCCGAUUUUCUUAUUCUUCGACUUAUUCUUUUUAGCCUUGUGUCACAAAUCGUGAUGUUACUGAAUGCUAUGCAUUGCCCAAUGAACAUUUUUUCUGUAUUAGAGUGAAAUAAACCUCUGUUAAGCACUCACUUCGAUUUUAAUGAUUUUUUUGCUACUCUGUAAGUACCAAUAUUGUGUGACAGUUCUUCUAUGGAUUUCUUCAGAACUUGCUCCGACGAAAAAAAGCAAGGAUUCCUUCGAAAAUGUCUCCAAGGAUUCCUUCAGAAAUUGACCAAAAUUUAUAUAAAAAAAUAUCAAUAAAUUCUCUUAGAAGGUCUCUCACAGAUUUCUUCAAACAUUUUUCCAGAGAUUUCUUUGAAAAUAUCUCCGAGGUUUCCUGCAGCAAUUUCCUAAGGUAGAAAUUCUUCUAGAAAAUCUUGCAUGGAUUAUUUUAGAAAUUGCUCCUUGAAUUUCGUCAGAAAUUCUUUAUUGGUUUCUUUCCAAAAAUCUUUCAGAAAGUCCUUCAGGGGUUACUUCCGAAGUUCUUUCUGAAUACUUAUUUAGGAAUUUCUCAAUAGAAUCAUUUUGACUUCGGAAAUUCUUUUGAAAUAAAAAAAAAAUAUCUAGAGGGUUUCCAUAAAAUCUCUAAAAAGCUUCUCCAGAAAUAGCCUCAGAGAUUCCUUUGAGAAUUCCUCCAAGCUUUUUACAAAAUUCUACAAAGUUCAUUAGUGAUUCCUCCAGAAAUUUCAAAAGGGAUUCUUUUAGAAAAUCAUGCAUAGUUUUUUUCAGACAUUCUAUAGUUGUUUUCAGGGAUUCGUUCAGGAAUACGUGCUGAGAUUUCUACAGAAAUUCCUGUAGAUUUUUUUUUAUGAAAUCCUCCCUUUGUAACUUUUGUAAAGUUUUCAGAGGUUCAUUCAGAAAUACUUCCAAAGAACUUUUUUUAGAAAAUCCUCCAAAAAAAUUAUUCAGAGAUUUAUUUAUUCUGAAAUUUCUGCAAACAUUUCUUACAAAAUUCCUGCCGGAAUUUCGCCACGCAUUCUUGAAAAAAAAAAAAAUAUUUCAAAGAUUUAUGAAAGUUUCCUUUUGGGAUUGCAUUAGAAAUUUCUUCAAGGAUCGUUUUUCAAAACCAUCUAUGGGUUCCUAUUAUAAUUUUACUAGGGAUUCCUUCAUAAGUUCAUUGGUGAAUUCUUUCAGGAAAUCUUUCAAGUAUUGUUCCAAAAAUUUCUCCAAGAUUUUCAAAAGAAAUUCCUUUAAGGGUUUCAACAAAAAAAACUUCUAGAGAUGUUUCCAGAAAUAUUUCUUAUAGUAUUCCAGUAGAAAACUUUCCUGGGAUUAUUCGAGAUAAUUCCUCAACGGAUAUAUUUAGAAAAUUCCACAAGAAUUUCUAAGGAAAUUCCUUCCAAGAGGUUUUCAAAAAAAAUAAUCUCAAGAUUACUUCAGAAAUUCCUCCAGUACAGAUCUUCAGUAGUCCAUUUGAAAUUUUUAAAAACUCUAAAAAUUUCUUUAGGGAUUCUGUAAAAAAAUCUUCAUAAAAGCAUUCGGAAAUUUUGUAUGGGUUGCAUCAGAAAUUUCCCUCUAGAAAUUUCUGAAGUAAUUCAAGGAUUCAAUCACCUUUUACAACAGAUCUUCUUAGUGAUUCCCCAUGGAUUCCUUUUGGAACACCUUUGGAAAUUUUUCUCUCGGAUUUCUUCAGAAAUUCCUCCAGAGAUUCUUCCAAAACUCUUCUUUGUCAUUUGAAAAUUCCUCGUUUAGAAUUUCUUCGAAAAAUUAUCAAAGAUUUCCUUCAUUAAAUCUUUUAUAGAUCCCUUAUAAAACAAAACAUUCAAAGUUUCGUUGUACGAGAGAUUAUUAGGAAAAUCCGGAGAUAUUCUUACAAAAUCUUCUACGAAUUCCUGUAGAAAUUCAUCCAAGGAUAUGUUCUGCUUAAGAAAUUGAGAUUCCUCGAAAAGUUUCUCUUAGAAACUUUUUAAAAAAUCAUAGAACCCAUGGAUUUUUCAAGACAAUUUUGCAUGAUUUGCUCCACAAGUUUCUUCAAGAACUUCUGCUGAAAUUUCUUUAGAGUUUCUGUCAGAAAUUUCUCAAGUGUUCUUAAAAAAUGCUUCUUGGAUUCCUUUAAAAGUUCCUCUAGGAAAGUUUCGGAAAAACUUUUUCGGAUUCCUUUAGAAGGAUUUACAAGAAAUCAUUCAGCAAUUUCUCAGUGGUUGUUAAAAACGAUACCAUCAAAGAAUUCCUCCAGGAUUUUUCCUGUCCUUCAGAGAUUUCAAAAUAAAUUCCUCUAGAAUUUCUUUCGGGAUUUCACCAGGGAAUCCUUCAAGCAUUUCACCUCGGAUAUCUUUAGAGGUUCUCCCAGUGAUUGUUUCAGGAAUUCCUCCAGGGAUUGCCAAACGAUUUUUACCAUAGAUCCUUUUAGGUGUUUCUGCAAAUACCUAUUCUUUCAGAGAUUUUUCCGGAGUUUCUCCAUUUAAGAAUUCCGCUGGAGAUUGCUCCUAUAAUUCAAUUUGGAAAUAUUGGAAGUAUUUGUGGAGGAAUUUCUUCCAGGUUCUCAGAUUCUUGAAAUAAACCCAGGAAUUUCUUCAAUAUUUUGUAGAAAAAAAAUCCAUGGAUUCCUUAAUAAUUCGACCAGAAAUCACUGCAGUUAUGGAUUCUUUCAGAUUUUUUUUCUAGUGGUUCCUAUUGACAUUCUUUCAGGAAUUCGUUUCUCUCGGAGUUUCCUAAGACAUUCCUCAUGGGAUUGCUUCCGGAAUUUCUUCUGGGGUUUCUUCAGAGAAUACUUCCAGGAAUUCUUCUUGGGAUUCCUUCAGAAAUUCCUCCUGAAACUUUUUUAGUUUUUCCUCCAAGAAUUCAUCCAUACUUUUCUUUAGGAAUUGUUUUGGAUUCUCUUAGGAAGUUUGAGAAAAUCCUCCAGGGAUUCCUCCACGAAUUGCUCCAAGGAUUCCUCAAGGAACUCCUAAAGGAAUUUCUCCAGGAACCCCUCUCGAAAUUGCUCCAGCAAUUUCUUCAGAAAUUUCUCUAGAGAUUCUUUCAGAAUUUUCUACAGACAUGUCUCCAGGAAUUUCUCCAAGGAUUCCUCCGGGAAUUACUCCAGAGUUUCCUCCAGGAAUUCUUCCAGGGAUUCCUCCUGACAUCUCUCCGGGCCUUCCUCCACGGAUUCCUAUGAAUUACACUAAGGGUUCCUCUUAGGAUUCUUCCUGACAUUUCUGCUGGAAUUCCGCCAAGAAAUUGAGCAGAUAUUCUUUUAGGAAUUCUACCAAGAAUUCAUCUAGGAAUACCUCCACGAAAUCCUUCAAAAAUUCCUUCAGCAAUUGCUCCAGGAAUCCCUUCAGGAAUUUCUCCCGGCAUUCCUCCAGGAUUUCAUCCAGGAAUGCCUCCAGGGACUCCUCCAAGAAUUGCUUUUAGAAUUCCCUCAAGGAUUCCUCCAAAAGAUUCUUCCGGAAAUCCUCCAGAAAUUCAAUUUCUCCAGGAAUCUUUCUAGGAAACCUCCAGGGAAGUUUUCAGAAAUUCUUUCAGGAAUUCCUUGAGGAGUUUUCCAAGGAUUUAUUCAAGAAUUUCUCCUCCAGAGGGUUUUCCAAGAAUUCCUCCAGGGAUUCCUCUGGAAGUUCCUCCAGGAAUUCCUCCAGAAAUUCUUCCAGGCAUUCCUCCAGAGAUUCCCUUAGGAAUUGCUUCAAGAGACCCUCCUGGAAUUCCAUCAGGAAUUCGUCCAGGAAUCCUUACAGGGAUUCCUCCAAGAUUUACUCCAGGAAUUGCGUCAGAGAUUCCUACAGCAACUCUUUAAGACAUUUCUCCAGGCAGUCCUUCAGAAAUUCGUCUAGGCAUUCGGGAAUAACUCUUCAGAUUCCUUCAGAAAUUCCUCUCGGAAUCUCUUCAAAAGUUUACACAAGGACCCGUUCAGAUGUUUCAGAAAGCCUUCCAUCUUCUUUUCCUGGGAUGCAGCCAAGUAUUUUUCCUCCUGAAUUACUUCCCGGAAUUCUAGUGGAAUGUCUCUAGCGCUUUGUAUUGAAACUCAGCAUAAUAAUAUUUAAGGGAUACAUACAGGAGCCAGAAAUUCUCCAAGGAGUAAUCCAGGAAUUCUUUGAAAUCCUUUGGGAAUUCAUCCACGGGCUUGUUCAGGAAUCCAUA